rnacentral:lncRNA from 1 species
CUUUUCUUUUCCUGCCUGGGACGGAAAGGACGCCCCGCCGCGCGGCAGUCCUGGGGCGCGGCCGGGGCGGGUGACGUCACGCGCCCUUAGGCCCCGCCCCUGGCUCGGAGGCUCCCCCUGGCUCGGAGGCUCCCCCUCCCCCGCCCGCCACGAGGCCCGCAGGUCCCCGUCGGCCCCGCCCCUCCGGCGGCCAGGUCCUCCAGCCGUCCCGGCAUGCCUCUCGCUCACUCGCUCGCUUUAGCGAGAGCGGCUCGGCGGGGUGCCGGGGGCUGCUGCGGGGAGCGGGCCUUUCUAGCCUGCCCUCUCGUUCUCUCUUUAGCAACAUGGCGGGCGUGGAGGCGGCGCAGGCGGCGGCCGCAGAGAGGCACCUGAACGGCGAGCUGGAGCCGGACGACAAGGACGACGGCGCGGCCGCCACGGCUGAGGAAACGGCCAAGAAGAAGCGCCGCAAGAAGAAGAAGGGCAAGGCCGGAACCGCAGGAAACGGAGGGAGAAUCGGGGACUUCUAUCAAUGAGGUAGUCAAACAGCUGGAAAAACAGGCCCUGGAGGACAAAGAAAAAGAGGAUGAUGAUGAAGGUAGGAGUAUGUGUGUGUCUAUGUGAGAGAUUUCAUGUUGUGUCUAAUUUCAGUAGCUGCAAAGUGAUAAAAGGUUUGGGCAACCUUUUAUCUUAACUUUAACUUAAACUGGAUGUUUAUAAAGUAUUUUAUAAACUUGAAAAACCUAUGUAAUAUCAAAUUUAGUGUUUCAUGGUCUUUUUUAUUUUACUUAUUUAAACUGGAUAAUUGUGGCUAAAAAUGAGAUUAAAAUAAAUUUUACUGUUUGUUGCA